rnacentral:rRNA from 1 species
UACGUAGGGUGCGAGCGUUGUCCGGAAUUAUUGGGUGUAAAGGGCUCGUAGGCGGUCUGUCGCGUCGGUAGUGAAAACUCAGGGCUUAACCCUGAGCCUGCUUCCGAUACGGGCAGACUAGAGGUAGGCAGGGGAGAGCGGAACUCCUGGUGUAGCGGUGGAAUGCGCAGAUAUCAGGAGGAACACCGAUGGCGAAGGCAGGUCUCUGGGCAUUAACUGACGCUGAGGAGCGAAAGCAUGGGGAGCGAACAGG